rnacentral:rRNA from 1 species
GACGAACGCUGGCGGCGUGCUUAACACAUGCAAGUCGAACGGAAAGGCCCCUUCGGGGGUACACGAGUGGCGAACGGGUGAGUAACACGUGAGUAACCUGCCCUUGACUUCGGGAUAUCUUCAGGAAACUGGGGCUAAUACCGGAUAGGAAUCCUUGCUGCAUGGUGGGGGUUGGAAAGCUUCGGCGGUUUUGGAUGGGCUCGCGGCCUAUCAGCUUGUUGGUGGGGUAGUGGCUUACCAAGGCUUUGACGGGUAGCCGGCCUGAGAGGGCGACCGGCCACAUUGGGACUGAGAUACGGCCCAGACUCCUACGGGAGGCAGCAGUGGGGAAUAUUGCACAAUGGGCGGAAGCCUGAUGCAGCAACGCCGCGUGCGGGAUGACGGCCUUCGGGUUGUAAACCGCUUUCAGCAGGGGCGAAGCUUGUGGUGACGGUACCUGCAGAAGAAGCACCGGCUAACUACGUG